rnacentral:ribozyme from 1 species
GCGAAAGGGGAGAAUGAGAGAAGAGAAGAGGAGGAAAAGAGGGAAAAAAUGCCACCUUUCUCUACUUCUAGUCGACUGCUCGAGUGUACCACCCCUUCCACUCUUCGCCUAGUACUUCCCUCUCUUCUCCUUCUUCCCUCUUUACCCUCUGCGUUGUGCGAUUGUCAAAGUAUGUGUGAAAGUUUAGAAAGA